CUUGGCGUCGGAUUCCAUAUUUCACCCCCACGGUCCCAGAAAAUCCCCACUUCUGCUGUAAACGCGGAUUCCCACGUCCCUCCGCUCCUCUUUUCCUCCUGAUUCCUUCGCCUUCCUCUCUCUCUCUCUCUCUCUGCCCCUCUGCGGCGCCGAAAACCCAAAGCCAGCGAUCGAUCUCGAGAUCAUGAGCGCGGGCGAGCUGCUUGGCGUCGAGCCACUCGAGCUAAAAUUCCCAUUCGAAUUAAAGAAGCAGAUCUCGUGCUCUCUUCAGCUAUCCAACAAGACCGAUGACUACGUCGCCUUUAAAGUCAAGACUACGAGCCCGAAGAAGUAUUGUGUGCGACCGAACACUGGAAUAGUCUUUCCUCGACAAACAUGCGAUGUCAUCGUUACUAUGCAAGCACAGAGGGAGGCUCCUCCUGACAUGCAAUGUAAGGACAAGUUUCUUGUUCAGAGCGUUGUUGCAAGCCCUGGUGCUGCUGUGAAGGACAUUACACCAGAAAUGUUCUCUAAAGAGUCUGGUAAUAUGGUGGACGAGGUCAAAUUGCGAGUCGUAUACGUGUCACCACCUCAGCCGCCUUCACCAGUCCCUGAGGAAUCCGAGGAGGGUUCAUCACCUAGGCCUUCCGUAUCAGACAAUGCUAAUAUGACAACCAGAGAAUAUGUUUUUGCCGAAUCAAGGGAGCAGAUUGAGCCUCAAGAAAAAUCUUCAGAGCUGCAAGGUUUAGAGCUUACGCUUUAUCUCACAAACUAUUAUAUGGCUAUAUGAAAAGAUGAAUGGAGUUCAAUCAAUUCAUAUGAGAUAGUAAAGGCACCAGCUUUGAUUUCAAGGUUGACUGAGGAGAAGAAUGCUGCUAUUCAACAGAACAAUAAACUUCGAAAGGAGUUGGAGCUUAUGAGGCGCGAAGUCAGCAAACAGCGUGGUGGUUUCUCCUUCAUGUUCGUGGUUAUUAUUGCCGUGCUUGGAAUUCUUCUCGGCUAUCUUGUGAAAUAAUUUCUCUAGGGCUUUUAUCCUGUUGGCCAUUCCUAACUUGGAAGGGAAAUGAAAUGAGAAGAUCUGAUUGUGUUCGGUGUUUGUAGAAUUUAGAACGCACUGCCGAAAAGUUCAUGGUUCAGCAAUUCUCUGCUUGUAACUCAGUACAUGUAAUUCGUGAUCUGCCGAGCCAUUUCGAGUUACAAUCUUUUGUAAGUUAUGCUCUUUUUGCCAUCUUGAUUGGAGUAGCAAGGAAUUCAGUGCUUCAAAUUUCCAGAACAUUAUGCAUCAUCAAA